GACGAACCACACGAACGUUAUUCGGAAUUACUGGGCUUAAAGGGUGCGUAGGAUGUGCGGAAAGUUAGGUGUGAAAUCCCCCGGCUCAACCGGGGAAUUGCGCUUAAAACUACCGUGCUAGAGGAAGACAGAGGUGAGCGGAACUUCGGGUGGAGCGGUGAAAUGCGUUGAUAUCCGAAGGAACACCGGUGGCGAAAGCGGCUCACUGGGUCUUUUCUGACUAUGAUGCUCGAAAGCUAGGGGAGCAAACGGG
rnacentral:rRNA from 1 species